ensembl:snoRNA SNORA70 Small nucleolar RNA SNORA70
CUGUAGCCAAUUAAGUCUGUUCUGCUUUCUUCCCUGUGGCGCCCCAUGUGCCAUGGCUACAAACCGAAACCUCCCGCAGUGUGUUGCAGGCUGCCCUAAAGGACUCUGUAGACAGCC